UCGUUCAAUCGGUGGUCAAAGCGGCCGUAACCGUCGAACACUCCAGAAACUCCACGAUUCAUUCCUCCCAAUCGCCUCCGUCCCAAUCUUCUCCUCUAAGCCUGGCGUCCUCCUCUCUCUCCCUGACCGAUCUACCGAGGCAACCAUGCCGCCUUUCUCUCCUUUCAGAAGAAGCCAUCACAGCACCCUUCUCUCCCUCCCGAUGCGGCGGGCGGCCCGGAGGAGUUCGACCCUGCCAUCUCCUUCCCAGGGCAGCUGAUGGCAUCGACGCGCUCCUCUUCCUCCAAAGGAAGUGCGGCUAUGGGAGGAGCCGACGGGAGGAAUUAGGCGCGCCCAUCUCCUUCUCAUGGAGGCUAAUGGUAUUGAGGACAUCGAAACCCUCCUCUCCUUCUUGAGGCAACCAUUAGAGCCAUCUUCUCCUUUCCGAGUUGCUAAGGAAAGUGGGCGAGUUGUGUCUGUGUCUUAUCCGGCUCCUCAACGCCGCGGGACGUCGGUGGACGUACGUGCCACUUCGACCUCAUGGCUGUAAGCGCCAUGACUGGUGGUGGAUGCUAGUCGCGUCGCAAGGGACAUUCCCGAUCUGGGCCAAGACGGUCCUCCGAACAUCCCUGCCGCUGGACACCGGCUUGCCAUGUCGCCUCAUGACUGUAAGCGCCAUGACUGGUGGUGGAUGCCAGUCGCGUCGCAAGGGCCAGGCCCGAUCUGGACCAAGAUGGUCCUCUGAACAUCCCCUGCCGCUGGACCCCGGGUUGCCAUGUUGCCGCUCACCCGGUUUUCCGUGUCCAAGUUCCUCAAUGUCUCAGACUGCUAGCGUCUCCUGCAACUGUUGCAGCCACGACGAGAUAACCACCAUCAGAUCAAUGAGGAGGGCAUGAGCAUUUCUAAGUUGCUUACAAUGGUUGACGUUGGGAUGAGUACCAGGAGUAUGUUACCAUUGCCUGCUAUUGUGUUGGACUGAAAAUGUUCUGGUAGCUACUUUUCAGAAAAAGUAGUGAAAAUGAUACAUUUGCUUUAAAUUGGUAACGGUUAAUGAAAGUUCAUUGUUUGAUUACAUCAACCAGAAGACCGUAUCCCAAGUGAUGGAAGUUAUUGAGACUUCGCAGAGCUAAGACAAUGGUUGAUGUUGUCAAUCAGGUUAUAUAGUCAUAUGUUUUCGUAUUUCUACCACUAUCAUGUCAAGUUAUCCAGUCCUUGAUAUCAUCAUGCCUUUAUAUAAAUUUGAUGAUCACCAACUGCAUCCAGUUGUACAGAUCAAUUUCAAUUCAUGGCAAUGGUAAUAUUUAAAAGUGUAUAUGUUGCCAUAAUUCAGAAAGUAAACUCUAUCCAACCAGCUCACGAAUCCUAUAUUGCUCCUUGGUCUUUACUACACACUAGAUCGUAUUAAUUAAAAAAGAUUCUAAUUCGUACUGAGUAAAUGAUAAAAUAUGUGGAAAUUAAAAGCUAAUGAGUAGCGAAGGGAACCUAACUUUUAUCAACAAUAAUAUAUGUUUGCAUUUGCUUCUUUUUCAAGGAUGUUUCUUGGUUGUUGUAUGGAAGCGAUGGUAGUAAAAGUGAGUUCCCUUGGGUUGCAAUGUUGGCUCAUCCCCUAGGCUCUAGAAUGAGUACACAGAUUUACGUCAAACUUUACCAGUAUGUACUGCUUACGAUGCAAUAUGCAUUUCGUUUCCCAUCUAUUUGCAUUGUCGUAGAGAUUGUUAUAAUGUGGUCUUGCAGAUGUCGGGUCGAUGGGCGCAUGGAAGACUACAGAAAGGCAAGGCAGUAGCUGACCAUCUCCUCCAGCUGGUUGUGCAGCUAUUGCAGCUGCAAGUAUAAACUAUGAAUCUACUCAAUUUCCAAUUUUGCCUCAAUUCAGCAUCUAUUUUUAGGAUAAUCAAGCUAACGAUUGUAUGCACAUCAAUGGAAGUCUGAAGCAGAUCAGAUAGCAUUAAUUGUCAAUUAAGCUUUCGAGUGGACGCACUAUAGGGGAGCUUCCAAGCCUUCCGUUCAAGGAUCAGACGUCGAGAAUCAAUAUGCAGUUUCCAUAUAUAUUUUCCGUCGUGUACUAAUGUCGCGUCACGUAUCGCACAGACUGACAGUGUGCGACAAGCCAUGCUACAGAGGAAGAGAAAGGGAAUUGUUCAUAAUCUUUUCUUUGCCUUCUUGCAGCAUUCGGGCAACUUCACCGUGCCACAAGAACUUCUGAUGUACUGAAGUUCGAACCAAACUAGAGAGAAGAGGAACGGUGUGCAAGGUCAAGAUGAGGUCAAUUCUAGGGUGAAGCUAGCUGAUGAAGCUGUGGCCAAGGAUUUGUUUUCUGUUUGCUCACAGUAGAUGAGUUCCUCUUACUCCUUGGAUUCAUUUGCUUAUGAUGUGCGCACCUAGGCUAAGAUAUGUUGUGCACAUCAGCUUUUGAUGCGAUGUUAUUUGUUAGGUUCACCUACAAGUCUGAAUCUACUAAUUAUUUUAAACUUAAUAACUUGGACAAGAAAGUUUAUCUACUAUAGAUUCGGUAAACUAACCAUUAUUUGUAUUAUUGUACAAGUGCAAAUUAGUGUCGUAGGUACCAAGGUUAGUUUAUCAGACCAGGCUCUUUUCUUUGCAGCAUGGUAUAAUUUUACCACAAUGCCGCAUAUGUAUUACAUCUCAGAAGUGAAUUAGUUUAUAUCUCAUUCAGAUUUAUAAACUUUUAAGGCACCACUAGCCUUUCUAUGACCUUUGUGAAGCCCCAAAUGAGCAAGUAUUGUAUUUAGUACAUAUAUGAGUCGACUCUCAUAUUACCACUUUGUUAUUCAGAUCUAAUUUAGAGAUCAUGGGUUCUUUCCCAUGCUUAAAUGUUUAGAUUAUAUAAGGGUAGACAAGUGGCAUUAUUAUUUGGUCCAGAGGUUUUCUGACAUCUCUAAUAGAAGAACGGAAAUGAUGGCAGUGAUGAGGUAGAGAAUGUGCAAAGUAAUACUAUUUCGUAAGCUUAUACUUACCCUUAAACUUCAUUUAGAAAAUAUUUAUGCCCACUCUCCUGUAUUUUCUGUUCUUCCGAGGUAACUUGAUUAUUAGUUCGAAUCAUAGUGUUGGGCAAAUGGAUAAGUAUGUUUUCAAAUUUGGUGGUAAGUGGGAAUUCCAUCAUUUUAUAGAACUUAUCCUCUUCAGUUACUGCCAUGGUGACCUCUUAGAUUCUAAUCGCCUCUCUUAUUUCUUUUAAAAAUGCACAGGUUCAGAAUUGACCAUACAAGGUCAUAUUCAGUGAUACAUCUAAAGAAAAGACAGUUCAUGUUGAUGGUUUCUCGGUUCGAAGGCUAUGUGCAGAAGCUUAAGACCUCAAGUCGUUUAAUUGAUAUGGCCAGUGCUUAGUUUUGUUGUAUGUUUUUAGGCAGUGCAAAAAGCACGCAGCCACUCUUUUAUUUUCUAUGCAUUUUCGUGUGAUGACCUGUAAUCGAUUUCUUCACUGUCUGCCUAUCUACGGUACCCAAAUAUAUGAAAUUAUGCUUUUAUGUUCACUCUUUUUUAUGCUGAUUAUCAUUGUUGUCGAGAGCAUGCAGAAACGCACGGCACCGGUAGGGUUCAGUUCAGUAAAUCUGCACCU